ACAAACUCGUCGGGAUAUAAAAUUUACAAUCAUAAACUUAAUACAUAACACAAACCUUAUACGGUAAGUAAAAUGAAAUCUAAUAAUAAAGAAGCUACAUGUUUUUUAGACACAAAAUGAUACUUCGUACAACACAUAUAUUAUUCUUUAUCAUAUUGGAUCACCUUCAUAUAAUAUAUACGUAGUAGAAUAUUUCAUAAUGUUAAAAUAAGAAGUGGAAUACAAUCAAAUAAAUAAAAGUGAAAAUAUAUUGAAUAUUUAAAAAUAUGGAAAUAUAUUGAAUAUUAAAAAAAAGUGGAAAUGUAUUGAAUAUUACAAAAAAAUUAAAAACAAAAAAAAGUGAACCUAUGUUUUACCAAUUAGUCAUUGUUAUUAUUACCAAGUAGUACUCCUAUAACUUAGUAACUUACCAUAUUAUCAAUGUCAUUAUCAUUAUUUAAAAAAAAAAUAGAAAACAAAGAAGGGAAAGUGAUACUUUGUUUACCACCGAGUCAACGACAACUUUGUUCACUCCGCCCAGCCAUUUCCACAAUCAACUCACCAUCUUCAACUCCCAUUUUUUCCAUGAUUCCAUCAUUUUAAUUUCAAUAUCAAUAUCAUCCCGGCUUCAUAAAACAACAGAUGUACAACUUAUACCCAAAUCAAUGCCAAAAUAGGAGAGAGAAAGUAGCUCAGAUCAACAACAAUGGUGGAAAUAGCUGCGUCGUCUUUCAUGUUUAGAUCUAUGCACGCAUACAUGACGAUCGAUGUUCCAGGCUUCACAGAAAACAGUUCAAGCCCAAUUUGACUGAAGACCAAUGAUUCUUUGAAUUUUGAAUAAAUGACGGCUUUGGAAAGAGCGAGAGGUGACGCAAUCAGAACAAUCGUCGGGUGGAGAUGCAAGAAUUAACGCUUCCAUUUCUGCAUGCAUCCAAACUGCUUUUCUGGUAUAUUAUUCAUAAUCUUCAGUAAUCUUUGUUUUUAUAAUUCUAAUGUUUUAUUUGCCAAUUUUUCUGAAUUUUGUUGUAAAUUGUUUCAGUCAUGUUUUUUUAACCAAUUUCCAAACAAUUAUUUAUUUGCAUGAUGGAUUGCCACAUUAAAAUUCAAUGACGUGAAUUUUGUGUAA